GGAAAAUUGUAUUGUACAUAAUACGUAAGUUUCCUCUUCUUUUGAGCUUUGUACUGCCGAGAGCCUAUAUUCAUAGACAUAAAAUCUCAAUGGGCUACAUUUCAUUCACUCGUGUGUUUUUCAUAAUAUAUAGGAGUUCAUAUAUAAUUUUAGAUAUAAGAUAUACAUGGCAGAAUUAAAUAAUAGGCUUGAGGUUUACCUUACAUGGUUAUAAUAAACUUAUCUUUUGGCUAUUUUAGAUCAAUAACUUUUAUUAUUUGAUGCUUGGCUGUAAUCAAUCAUAUGAACACCUCUUUUAGAUUGUCUGCCUCAUGAAUUCACUUGCCUAUAGGCAAAUUGGAGGUACAAUGUACUUACAGUGGUACAUGCAGAUAUGAAUGAUAUUGACUUCUUGUUACAUGAGGCUUAUGACAAAGAAGUCAGAACUUGGCUCUGACCUCACCGAAUAUACCCUGCUUGGUCCCCCAGUGAGUAAUAUGAUUAAUUUGAUUGGUUGCAUUUUUUUCUUGUUUUCUGAACGUUAGGCAUAUAUUUCUCCUCUUAUGGGUAAUGGGUGAAUCAUCAACCAAACUUGUUUAUUUAUGUUGUUUUCCAGUUAUGAAUGACCUAGGUUGUCUUGGAAAUGGAGGUUGUUCAUUGCUAUUUGACUUUGUGCUUAUGAGAAUUUUCUGCUUAAUAUUUUUGGAGUAGUGCAUUACAACAUAAUUAUCUUAACAUAUACGCUCCUAAGGAUACAAUUCCAAUGCUGCAUAUGCAAAAGAGGAUUGUGAGGAUUUCAAUUUUCGGGGCUGGAGGCUUAUAAGUCUAUUUCAAUAGAUUCAUGAUUGAUGCAUUUUUAGAGUUUGAGUUCUGAAUUCUAAAUUUUCAUCAAUGUUUCUUAGAGCUUAAUAGUCUGAAAAUCAACUUUAAAGGAGGUUGAAUUUCUCUUUCUUUAAGUUCUUUUAAUCAUUUUCCACGCACUUGCAGCCAGACCAAGAUUUGUAAGGUCUA
rnacentral:misc_RNA from 1 species